UACGUAGGGUGCGAGCGUUGUCCGGAAUUAUUGGGCGUAAAGGGCUCGUAGGCGGUUUGUCGCGUCGGGAGUGAAAUCCACUGGCUUAACUGGUGGCUUGCUUUCGAUACGGGCAGACUGGAGGUAUGCAGGGGAGAACGGAAUUCCUGGUGUAGCGGUGAAAUGCGCAGAUAUCAGGAGGAACACCGGUGGCGAAGGCGGUUCUCUGGGCAGUAACUGACGCUGAGAAGCGAAAGCAUGGGUAGCAAACAGG
rnacentral:rRNA from 1 species